CUACGGGCUGCUGCAGUAAGGAAUAUUGCGCAAUGGAGGCAACUCUGACGCAGCCAUGCCGCGUGCAGGACUGAAGGCCUUAUGGGUCGUAAACUGCUUUUAUUUAGGAAUAAACUUUCGUACGUGUACGAGACUGAAGGUACUAAAUGAAUAAGCACCGGCUAACUCCGUGCCAGCAGCUGCGGUAAUACGGAGGGUGCAAGCGUUAUCCGGAUUUAUUGGGUUUAAAGGGUGCGCAGGCGGACUAUUAAGUCAGAGGUGAAAUCCCGGAGCUCAACUUCGGAACUGCCUUUGAUACUGGUAGUCUUGAAUACGGUAGAAGUAGGCGGAAUGUAGCAUGUAGCGGUGAAAUGCAUAGAGAUGCUACAGAACACCGAUCGCGAAGGCAGCUUACUAAGCCGAUAUUGACGCUCAGGCACGAAAGCGUGGGGAGCGAACAGGAUUAGAUACCCGCGUAGUC
rnacentral:rRNA from 1 species